rnacentral:misc_RNA from 1 species
AAUUCGGAACCAGCUUGGCUAAUUCAAAGAGUACAACGUAUGGAUGUAUUGUCUUAAAACUGCGCGUUACUUGCAACAAGAGGAACACAGCAAGGAGAGGUCCGCUCCAUGCCCCACUUGGAGUUUCCGCCCAAGCACAGGGCCCAGCGAACGCCACACGUGGAUAGAGCCAGGUGCUUGAUGACGAACCCUAGAACCUACGUUUUAUGAACCUCCCGUUCUCUAGCAGCCAGAGGCAAUCGGGUUUUAACGAUAAUUAGUGAGCGUAGCUAGCUGACGGCGACAACAGAGCUCAGAAACACUGAAAGUCCUUGUGGCGAGAACACGUUGCAGUCGCAGACACUCCUUACGAU